rnacentral:rRNA from 1 species
UACGUAGGCAGCGAGCGUUGUUCGGAGUUACUGGGCGUAAAGGGUGUGUAGGCGGUUGUUUAAGUUUGGUGUGAAAUCUCCCGGCUCAACUGGGAGGGUGCGCCGAAUACUGAAUGACUUGGAGUGCGGGAGAGGUGAGUGGAAUUCCUGGUGUAGCGGUGAAAUGCGUAGAUAUCAGGAGGAACACCAAUGGCGAAGGCAGCUCGCUGGGACGGUACUGACGCUGAGGCGCGAAAGCGUGGGGGAGCAAACAGG